AAAACAAUACUUUCAGUGCUCAUGUUUGUAGUUUCUUGCUACAGAAGGUUCUCUAAGCCUGAAGAGCACCCCAAGGAAAAUGUAUAGUAUCCUCUCCUGAGUGUGAAGCCAGCUCUUGGUAUCGCUUCACUACACCGGUCAUUGCCAUUUAUAAUCAUUCUUCUCUUCUUUUGGGUGAGAAAGAGGGAAGAGUAUGCAAUCUGAGAGGU